rnacentral:rRNA from 1 species
UACGUAGGGUGCAAGCGUUAAUCGGAAUUACUGGGCGUAAAGCGUGCGCAGGCGGUUCGCUAAGACAGAUGUGAAAUCCCCGGGCUUAACCUGGGAACUGCAUUUGUGACUGGCGGGCUAGAGUAUGGCAGAGGGGGGUAGAAUUCCACGUGUAGCAGUGAAAUGCGUAGAGAUGUGGAUGAAUACCGAUGGCGAAGGCAGCCCCCUGGGCCAAUACUGACGCUCAUGCACGAAAGCGUGGGGAGCAAACAGG